GCGCUUCGCGUGAGAGAGACCGGCCGCGUGCCGGCGCCGAAGGGGUAACGCCCCGCAAAAAACUCUCAGGCAAAAGGAUCGCGCGAGGACA
rnacentral:ncRNA from 2 species